rnacentral:rRNA from 1 species
CAGCCGCCGCGGUAAUACAGAGGGUGCGAGCGUUAAUCGGAUUAACUGGGCGUAAAGCGUGCGUAGGCGGCUUCUUAAGUCGGAUGUGAAAUCCCUGAGCUUAACUUAGGAAUUGCAUUCGAUACUGGGAAGCUAGAGUAUGGGAGAGGAUGGUAGAAUUCCAGGUGUAGCGGUGAAAUGCGUAGAGAUCUGGAGGAAUACCGAUGGCGAAGGCAGCCAUCUGGCCUAAUACUGACGCUGAGGUACGAAAGCAUGGGGAGCAAACAGGAUUAGAGACCCCCGUAGUCCCUGUCUCUUAUAC